GUGUGAGGAGUCUGGAACUCUGUUGACAGCAGUGCAAGAUGACAGAGCCUGGGCCAGCCUCCUGUCCUCUCCAGUUGUACUUCUGCAGGGUCUCUUUAAAGAAGUAAUCUUUCCCUAACUACCCAUGGAGUUGGGCAUCAGUGGAAGAGGUUCUUGAACUUCAAGUGGACUGCAGUAUGCUGCUCACUGACUUGGAUUCUCGCAGCACAGAAACCUGUACCGCAGCCUCCACAGCACAAGGUACC